rnacentral:rRNA from 1 species
GAACGGGUGAGUAACACGUGGGUGAUCUGCCCUGCACUUCGGGAUAAGCCUGGGAAACUGGGUCUAAUACCGGAUAUGACCAUGGGAUGCAUGUCUUGUGGUGGAAAGAUUUAUCGGUGCAGGAUGGGCCCGCGGCCUAUCAGCUUGUUGGUGGGGUAAUGGCCUACCAAGGCGACGACGGGUAGCCGACCUGAGAGGGUGACCGGCCACACUGGGACUGAGACACGGCCCAGACUCCUACGGGAGGCAGCAGUGGGGAAUAUUGCACAAUGGGCGGAAGCCUGAUGCAGCGACGCCGCGUGAGGGAUGACGGCCUUCGGGUUGUAAACCUCUUUCGACAGGGACGAAGCGUNAGUGACGGUACCUGUAGAAGAAGCACCGGCCAACUACGUGCCAGCAGCCGCGGUAAUACGUAGGGUGCGAGCGUUGUCCGGAAUUACUGGGCGUAAAGAGCUUGUAGGCGGUUCGUCGCGUCGAUCGUGAAAACCUACCGCUCAACGGUGGGCUUGCGGUCGAUACGGGCGGACUAGAGUACUUCAGGGGAGACUGGAAUUCCUGGUGUAGCGGUGAAAUGCGCAGAUAUCANGAGGAACACCGGUGGCGAAGGCNGGUCUCUGGGAANUAACUGACGCUGAAAAGCGAAA